CUUAUAUGUACGUUUCGUAGUGCAUGAAACUUGUAUUUGGUGAAUUUUAAGCGGCACCUCGGUUAAUCCUAUCUACAGUACAUUGCAGUAACAGGAUGGUUUAUAUUUAAAAAAAGUCAUAUAUGUUUAUAAAAGAAACUCAGGAAGAGGAAAACGGUCAAGGGAAGCACUGAAUAAGGCGAUAGAAGUUGUUUUGAAGCGAGAAAUGGGAUAUAUGUUGGCUGCAAAAUUUUUCUUAGUCCCACAAACUACAUUGGAAUGAAAGGUAAAAAAGGCUAAAAAAGAAUGUAAAGGUACCUUUGGGUACCAGUAUUUUCGCAAAAAGAAGAAGAGGAUGAGCUUGAUGGAUUAUUUACUAGACAUAGAAAUCGGGUUUUUUUUAACUGUAGAUACUGUGGCAGCACCUCUUACAACAACAGCAACGAGCACUGCAGUUGUUGUUACAGAUCCUACUAAUUCAACAGUUGUGACAACUAGUACAACUGAAAUUAACACAUAUUUAAAUUUGAGUCCUUCCCCUAGAUUUUCUUAUUGGCCUAAUUUAGUGCAUUAGCCAGCCCAAAGCAACUAUUGCUUCUUCCAGUGACCAAGAAGACAUUAAAAGUGACGAAAAAACGCGGUAAAACUACUAUCAUAACCUCUUCACCCUAUAAACAGAAGUUGUUAAGAGUUAA